rnacentral:rRNA from 1 species
UCCAGGCCCUACGGGGCGCAGCAGUCGCGAAAACUCCGCAAUACACGAAAGUGUGACGGGGUCAUCCCGAGUGCCGUCCGCUGAGGAUGGCUUUUCCCCAUUGUAGACAGCUGGGGGAAUAAGGAGAGGGCAAGUCUGGUGUCAGCCGCCGCGGUAA